UUUAAUCACAGCACUAGGGAAACAGAAGC
rnacentral:piRNA from 1 species